GCCUCGGGUGGUGUAGUGGUUAGAGCACGCGUCCCCGGAUAGAAUGAAAUGUGGGCUCGAUUCCCGUCUGAGGCC